GGGCACAUGGUGUAGCUGGUUAUCACGCUCGCUUUGCAUUUGUGAUUGCGAGUGGUCUCCGGUUCGAUUCCGGAUGUGUCCA